GCGGCUAUGGUGUAACGGCUAACACUGGAGCUUGUGGAGCUCUCAAUCCGAGUUCGAUUCUCGGUAGCCGCCCCA
rnacentral:tRNA from 1 species